rnacentral:rRNA from 1 species
AUGCCGCGUGAGUGAUGAAGGCCUAGGGUCGUAAAGCUCUUUCGCCAGGGAUGAUAAUGACAGUACCUGGUAAAGAAACCCCGGCUAACUCCGUGCCAGCAGCCGCGGUAAUACGGAGGGGGUUAGCGUUGUUCGGAAUUACUGGGCGUAAAGCGCGCGUAGGCGGACUGGAAAGUUGGGGGUGAAAUCCCGGGGCUCAACCCCGGAACUGCCUCCAAAACUACCCCAGUCUUGAGUUCGAGAGAGGUGAGUGGAAUUCCGAGUGUAGAGGUGAAAAUUCGUAGAUAUUCGGAGGAACACCAGUGGCGAAGGCGGCUCACUGGCUCGAUACUGACGCUGAGGUGCGAAAGUGUGGGGAGCAAACAGGAUUAGAUACCCUGGUAG